GGCUUCCCUUUUCGUCCACGCCCUCAGGAGCGGUAGCACUUUCCCGGAAAGUUGUGGGGCUGCGGGUCUAAAGUUUCGGGGGCUAGGGGCCGAAGGUGGCCGCCGCUCCGCCUCCCUCCGCCGCCAUUUACUGCGCCCCGGCCCGGCCUCGACGCGCCCGCACCAACACUGACAGCGGCGGCCGCGCUCCAGACCCGGAUGUGAGGCCGGGAGGAGAGAGCGCGAGAGGGAGAGAGAAACACCCACCGGGCGGCUCGGCCGCUCCCGGGAGAGGAGGCCGCAGCGCCCCCUGGUGGCAGGCGCCGGGCGCGGGGUGGCCGGCCGCCGCCGGGUGCUGGCCGCAGGAGACCCCGCGAAGAGGACCCGGGGAAGAGCCGGCGGCUCCUGAGGACCAGGGCAACUGGGGUCAGACUCUCAUCACAUUAUUUAUAUUGUAUAUGAUGACAAUGUUGCUAAGAGGACAAGAUGAUGAAAGUCUAAGGAAACUGAAGGACUGAGAAUUGGGUAUGAAAAAUAUGAAUUGACAAACAUUGGAAUACUUCUAUUUUUCAAAAAACAUUUUUAUUUAUUUAUUUGAUAGGCAGAGAUACAGAGGGAGAGAGGAGAGGGAGGGAGGGAGGGAGGGAGGGAGAGAGAGAGAGAGAGAGAGAGAGAAAUCUAUCCACCAGUUCACUGUCCAAAUGGCUGCAAUAGCCGUGGCUGGGCCAGGCUGAAGCCAGAAGCCAGGAGCUUCUUCCAGGUCUCCCACAUGGGCACAGGGGCCCAAGCACUUGGGCCAUCUUCUACUGCUUUCCCAGGCACAUAAGUACAGAGCUGGGUCAGAAGUGGAGCAGCCAGUACUUGAACCAGUGUCUAUAUAGGAUGCCGGCGCUAUAGGCUGAGACUUAACUUUCUAUACCACAGUGUGGUUCUUUUAAUGUUUCUCUCAUCAAAAACAACUUCCUUGGAUGUUUGGCACAGCAGUAGAGAUGUUGUUUGGGUUCCUCGUAUCCCAUGUUGGAGCAUCUGAGUUCCCGACCUGAUUCUGCUUCUAAUUCCAGCUUCCUGCACAUGCACACCCUUGGGGAGGCAGUAGGUGGUGGCUGAAGUAGUUGGGUCCUUGCCACCCAUGUGUAAGACAAAGAUUGAUUUCUGGGUUCCUGGCUUCACCUGGACCCAGGCCAAGCUAUUGCAAGCAUUUGGGGGAGUGAGCCAGCAGGUGAGAGAUCUGUCUCUGCCUUUUAAAUAAAUACAUAAUAUAAUAUUUUUAAAAACCCA
rnacentral:lncRNA from 1 species